GAUGAACGCUGGCGGCGUGCCUAAUACAUGCAAGUCGAGCGAACAGACGAGGAGCUUGCUCCUCUGACGUUAGCGGCGGACGGGUGAGUAACACGUGGAUAACCUACCUAUAAGACUGGGAUAACUUCGGGAAACCGGAGCUAAUACCGGAUAAUAUAUUGAACCGCAUGGUUCAAUAGUGAAAGACGGUUUUGCUGUCACUUAUAGAUGGAUCCGCGCCGCAUUAGCUAGUUGGUAAGGUAACGGCUUACCAAGGCAACGAUGCGUAGCCGACCUGAGAGGGUGAUCGGCCACACUGGAACUGAGACACGGUCCAGACUCCUACGGGAGGCGGCAGUAGGGAAUCUUCCGCAAUGGGCGAAAUCCUGACGGAGCAACGCCGCGUGAGUGAUGAAGGUCUUCGGAUCUUAAAACUCUGUUAUUAGGGAAGAACAAAUGUGUAAGUAACUAUGCACGUCUUGACGGUACCUAAUCAGAAAGCCACGGCUAACUACGUG
rnacentral:rRNA from 1 species